GAAUUUUGGUAAGUUAAAUUAUAUGGUGGGUUAAUUACAUGCUAAAAAAUGUAUAUUUCAAUAAUCUGAAAAAAAUUUGAUCGCGCUCGAGUUACUACGGGUAACGCAACUUUGCAAUAUUCCCAUUUCCUUGCGUCACGCUUAAAUAAUCA